CCGGCCAGCGGCGGGCCGGGGAUUCCCCCGUUGCAGCACCGCCCCUCCGCCGACGUCACCAGGAGUUCCCUCCCUUUUGGCNGGGCGUCGCCUAUUGUCUCCACCGCCUCCUGCUCUUCCUGCCCGGCGGCGGUGGCCGUGGCGGUAGCGUCAUGGCCGAGAAUGGCCGCUUGCGGCGGCGCUGCUGCUGGAAGCGACAUAUCCUGAGGGCUCUGAAGCAGCGGGAUCGGGCGCAGGAGGCGCGCUUCCGGGACUUGGUGAACGCCUAUAACGAACUCCUGGAAAAAUCCAGCCUGGAUAAUUUCACUGCCAAGUUGCAACCUAAAUCUUUGGAGAGUCAGACGGAAAUCGAUCUACGAGACACCCAGGUGCCCACUGGGCAGGCGUCAGAUUCUGUCCUGCACGUCACACAAACUCUUGUGAGCCUGAAGAGGGACCAUGAGGAGNAACUGGAAACCAUCAAUGGAGAGAGCAACUGGAACGCAGAAUCUCUCUGCUCGUUUGCAGCUCGCGUACAGGAUCUACGAGUACAACAUCCUGCUCCAAGCAAAAGAGGCCAUGCUGGAUGAACAAAGAAGCAGGUGAAUUCUCAGCAGGGCUUGUUCUUCUAUUGGCAUAGUUCUCUGCUGCGUGUUGUGGCUGCUACUGCUGCUGGGGCAACCUUUUGUGCAGCUCUUUGGGAGUUAAUCUUGCAACAGCCAGCUGNGAAAACGUUCAGCAGUUGGGGUGUGAGUUGUGAACCAGGAAGGAACGGACUGACCACAAGCUCCGGCUAUGUGGAAGCAGUGAGUUCCUCNUCUAAGGUGUCAAGCCAGACUCAGCAGCCACGAUCUAUGAAGUUGUUUGGCCCUUGCUGAGUGACGGUGCCACCCUCUGCCCGUCUCCAGCCAGGCUGGUUCCUGAUCGUUGGUGACCCGUGCAGGCGUGUGCAACCAGAAGCCAUUCCUUUGAAGUGCACACAGCCUGCUGAAGCUGGUUCGUGGUCUUCCUUUGAAGGCACCGUGUGGGCUUCCAAGGAAGGUCACCCGCCAACUUUCAGCAGGGUCUUCUGNCUGGGCUCACCUGACCGGCUGCCACUGGUCCUGAAAGCAUGAAGCAAAUAAUCGCCUCCUUUUGGCCGGUGACUGGAGCAAGGGGUGUGUUAACCUCUCCAGGGAGUUAGUGACCACAUGCUUCCGUUCCCAGCUCUCCGCAUAUGGCCGCCUCACCUUACAACUUGCACAGAAACGUGUGCAGCCUUCAUAUUUGCAAAGCACCUGGGAANAGGNGUGUCUGUGUAUGNGCCUGUUCACACUUCAUGCUAGCCAGCGUCAGGGGCGCUUGCUAGAAAAGUGCGCCUGAACUUUGUGGGGGCCCGAGCGGCUNGGAGCAGCAUAACGCUGCCCCCAAUCACUCCUAGCUGUGGUGCAAAAAUUAGUGUUCCACAGCUUUACAUGGGGCUGACAGUCAGCAUUCACACUUGCUGCAGCC
rnacentral:lncRNA from 1 species